CCCGGUGAAUUUUUAACGGCCGCAGUUAGAAGCUGUGCUAAGGUAGCGUAGUAAGUUGUCCUUUAAAUGGGGAAAGGAAUGAAUGGUUUGACGUGAGAAUUUCUGUCUCUGGUAGAAUAAAAAAAAUUUUCUUCCCAGUGAAAAGCCUGGGAUGUUUUUAAAAGACGAGAAGACCCUUUCGAGCUUGAUUAAGCCUAAAAUUUUUUAAGGGUUAAAGUUUGGUUGGGGCAACUUAGGAGCAAAAAUAGACUCCUUUAAGAAUUUGUAGAUCCAAAAUUUUUGAAAAGAGAAAAAGCUACCGUAGGGAUAACAGCGUUAUCCUUUCUGAGAGAACAUAUUGAAGGAAGG
rnacentral:rRNA from 1 species